AACGAACGCUGGCGGCAGGCUUAACACAUGCAAGUCGAACGCAUCGCAAGGGGAGCGGCAGACGGGUGAGUAACACGUGGGGAUCUGCCCAAUGGUACGGAAUAGCUCCGGGAAACUGGAAUUAAUACCGUAUGUGCCCUUCGGGGGAAAGAUUUAUCGCCAUUGGAUGAACCCGCGUCGGAUUAGCUAGUUGGUGAGGUAAAGGCUCACCAAGGCGACGAUCCGUAGCUGGUCUGAGAGGAUGAUCAGCCACACUGGGACUGAGACACGGCCCAGACUCCUACGGGAGGCAGCAGUGGGGAAUAUUGGACAAUGGGCGCAAGCCUGAUCCAGCCAUGCCGCGUGAGUGAUGAAGGCCUUAGGGUUGUAAAGCUCUUUCGCCGACGAAGAUAAUGACGGUAGUCGGAGAAGAAGCCCCGGCUAACUUCGUGCCAGCCGCCGCGGUAAAAC
rnacentral:rRNA from 1 species